rnacentral:rRNA from 1 species
UAGUGGGGGACAACCGUGGGAAACUACGGCUAAUACCGCAUGAUCCUCGUAGGGCGAACGACGAAGUACGCCUUGAGGAGGAGCCUGCGUCUGAUUAGGUAGUUGGUGGGGUAAAGGCCUACCAAGCCCUACGAUCAGUAGCUGGUCUGAGAGGAUGAUCAGCCACAUUGGGACUGAGACACGGCCCAAACUCCUACGGGAGGCAGCAGUGGGGAAUAUUGGACAAUGGGCGCAAGCCUGAUCCAGCAAUGCCGCGUGGGUGAAGAAGGUCUUCGGAUUGUAAAGCCCUUUGGCGGGGACGAUGAUGACGGUACCCGCAGAAUAAGCUCCGGCUAACUUCGUG